rnacentral:rRNA from 1 species
UACGUAGGAUCCAAGCGUUGUCCGGAUUUACUGGGUGUAAAGGGUGCGCAGGCGGACUGGUAAGUCAGGGGUGAAAUCUCGCUGCUCAACAGCGAAACUGCCUUUGAUACUGUCAGUCUUGAAUAAGCGAGAGAUUCGUGGAAUUCCGAGUGUAGCAGUGAAAUGUGUAGAUAUCGUGAGGAACACCAGAGGCGAAGGCGGCUACCUGGACAAUUGCUGACGCUCAGGCACGAAAGCGUGGGGAGCAAAAGGG